CCUACGGGAGGCAGCAGUGAGGAAUAUUGGUCAAUGGGCGCGAGCCUGAACCAGCCAAGCCGCGUGAAGGACGACGGUCCUAUGGAUUGUAAACCUCUUUUGUCAGGGAGCAAAAGCCGCCACGCGUGGCGUUCCGAGAGUACCUGAAGAAAAAGCAUCGGCUAACUCCGUGCCAGCAGCCGCGGUAAUACGGAGGAUGCGAGCGUUAUCCGGAUUUAUUGGGUUUAAAGGGUGCGCAGGCGGAAUGUCAAGUCAGCGGUAAAAUGGCGAGGCUCAACCCCGUCGAGCCGUUGAAACUGGUUGUCUUGAGUGAGCGAGAAGUAUGCGGAAUGCGUGGUGUAGGUGUGAAAUGCAUAGAUAUCACGCAGAACUCCGAGUGCGAAGGCAGAAUACCGGCGCUCAACUGACGCUCAUGCACGAAAGUGUGGGUAUCGAACAGGAUUAGAUACCACAGUAGUC
rnacentral:rRNA from 1 species